rnacentral:misc_RNA from 1 species
UACGGAAGGUGCGAGCGUUAAUCGGAAUAACUGGGCGUAAAGCGCGCGUAGGUGGUUGAGUCAGUCAGAUGUGAAAGCCCCGGGCUUAACCUGGGAACUGCACCUGAUACUGCUUGACUAGAGUACGGUAGAGGGCAGUGGAAUUUCCUGUGUAGCGGUGAAAUGCGUAGAUAUAGGAAGGAACACCAGUGGCGAAGGCGACUGCCUGGACUGAUACUGACACUGAGGUGCGAAAGCGUGGGUAGCAAACAGG